CAAUCAGGGCCUCAUUAAGCUUCGAGGGCAGUGAGGGCGUGAGGUCUCGGGACCAGGUGAACAAACCCCGCGCAGGGGGCCGAGGGUGAGCUGAGCAAGGCAGGCUGGAGGGGGUGGCACCACACCGGACAGCCAACUCCCCCCCCACCCCCCGGCCGGGCACUGCCACCCUUGGGCCACACCUCAGAGCGAGGCUUUCAAACCACAGGCCGCGUCCCCUUGCGGUCCCAGGAAGUCAACGUAGCUGAUGCUCGCCAGCAUUCAAAACAAAAAUGCAAAAACAGCGAACAAGCUAACACCAGUGACUAACGAGAAACAGAACAGGAACGACCAGACUCUCCUGCGUGAUUGGAGGCCCUUAUCUGGGCUGGGAAGAACAGAACAGAUCCUAGCAUGGAGCUCUGUGGAGUAUGUGCUCGAGAAACGGGAAGGGACCGAGCCCUCACGACAAGGUGUGUAGACGGUGGAGCCAGAUGAAACCCAGGCCAUGCGAUUCCUAAGCAUAGCUUCUACCCGUGGAUGUAUUCACAAGACGGAACAACGGAGCAGCACAAGGUAAGAGCAGUCAGAACGUGAUGGCCCUUGAGCGGAGCCGUCCUGCAGACCCUUGCCGGGCAAGGCCGGCUGUAUCACAAGAGGCUAGCACAGUGACCGAGGGAGGGGAACACCACAGUUGCUCAGGGCCCUGUUUACUGAUUAUGUGCUUAUAUACUACCCGGCCCUGCAGUUCUGCCCUCGGGCCCUCAAGCGUCGGCUCAGACGUACUGGUGCAGGUGGGCCGAGAGCAACGUUGUUCCCACCCGGUCUCGUCCCAGGCCGCCUUCCUGCGAGGUCCUGUUUCCGCCUGUCACAUAAAACAUGGACAAUUAUUUCCAGCACAAGCUGACUAAGAGCGAAGGAGAAGCCAGAUUGUCUGCUCCCUCGAGCAUUUGUAGGCAGACAACUUUUAAAUAGAAGCACACACAUGGGGUUCUGACAGCUGCACUGGGACAGUGAGUUCCGGUCUGACGUCCCUCUAGAAAGAGAAACUCAGGCUACUGUCUUGCCUCUUGAAAAGCGGUGGGGGUGGGAUUCGGCUGCUUAGGGGAAAAAAGCUGGUCUCUUCGUCUCAUGUAAAAUCACAAGAUCAUGGUGUAAAUUCAGGGGCGCCUGGGUGGCUCAGUCGGUUGAGCGUCCGACUUUGGCCCAGGUCAUGAUCUCGCGGUGCGUGAGUUCGAGCCCCGCGUGGGGCUCUAUGCUGACGGCUCAGAGCCUGGAACCUGCUUCGGAUUAUGUGUCCCCCUCUCUCUCUGCUCC